UCCAGACUCCUACGGGAGGCAGCAGUGAGGAAUAUUGGUCAAUGGCCGCAGGGCUGAACCAGCCAAGUCGCGUGAGGGAUGACGGUCCUAUGGAUUGUAAACCUCUUUUGUCAGGGAGCAAAGGGCGCCACGUGUGGCGUUUUGCGAGUACCUGAAGAAAAAGCAUCGGCUAACUCCGUGCCAGCAGCCGCGGUAAUACGGAGGAUGCGAGCGUUAUCCGGAUUUAUUGGGUUUAAAGGGUGCGCAGGCGGAAUGUCAAGUCAGCGGUAAAAUUUCGGGGCUCAACCCCGUCGUGCCGUUGAAACUGGCGUUCUCGAGUGAGCGAGAAGUAUGCGGAAUGCGUGGUGUAGCGGUGAAAUGCAUAGAUAUCACGCAGAACUCCGAUUGCGAAGGCAGCAUACCGGCGCCCAACUGACGCUGAAGCACGAAAGCGUGGGUAUCGAACAGGAUUAGAUACCCCUGUAGUA
rnacentral:rRNA from 1 species